rnacentral:lncRNA from 1 species
CAUAUCGAUGCCUUAGGAAACAGUGAAGAUUAGAUCUCCGAGGUCAGCCGGUGUGUAAUUGGAAUCUCGGGGCUAGGAGAACACAGUCAGAUUUACACAGGGCUUCUUGUCUCUAGGGAUUCUUUUAUUUUUUUUGCUAUCAUAUCAUCUCUGAUAGAGCAAAACUGCUUGUUUUAGCUCUUGAUAGAAAAGUAACUUCCCUUGUCCAUUUUUUUACAGGCGAUGUAUAAACAGGAAGAAAGUGGAAAGCCUGUCAUUAUGUGUAGCAGUACCCACUUUUGGUUAUAUGCCACAGAGAGGGAUGUGGAUUUGAGGGUAGAAGAUCUGGGUUUGAGUCCAGUUCUGCCUUGGGAUAUUUGUAUAUGAAACUUCUCCAUGAAAGCAGGGAUCAUCUUUGCCCGUUUAUUUCUUUUCCACUGCUGAACCUUGGUAUUAGAACUGUGCUUUACCACACAAAAGAUAUUCAGGUAAAUGUUUGCUAAAUGAGUGAAAAAUUCUGGGUAUAUAAAUUUUUUUUUCCUGUAACAGAUUUUUUUGUCAUAAACAUCUUACACAAGUUGAUGUGUCCGUGUGUGCAUGUGUAUUUUAUUUAUAUCCUUAGAAUCAAUUCCAAGAUCAUUGUGUAAAAGGGCAUGGACCAUUUUAUAACUUGUUAAACAUUUCCAGGUUAAUCUCAGAAAAUACUGAACCAAUUUACAAUGCCAUCAACCUUGUAAAUUUGUUCAGGGUAUCAGUUUCCCAAUGCCAACUCUUAAAGGAAUUUAGAAUGAUUAACAAUUGGGCUAGUUACUUAUGUCUCUGAAGCUCAGUUUCUUUAAACUGUAAAAUGGAGAUAAUGAUAUAAGUUUGAAAAUUGAGUGAGUGAAUUUAAUACCAACGUGUGAAGUUGGUAUUAAAUGUAUGAUUCCCAUAUAAAAAAAUUGGAGUAUCAUAGUGCUCUCAUAUAGUAGUAAUGCAUCUCUGCUGGGGAUGUAAACUGCCAGGUGAGGUGGGAGCUAGCUCCUUCGGGUAACGGAUAGAAGACCUCAGCAUCACAUGAGUGGUAACUGCUGCAGCUGGUAGAGUUAGAUGUUUGGGAGAAGGAAAUAAUCUCAUAUUUUUGUACACUUGAUUCUCUAGCU